GACGAACGCUGGCGGCGUGCUUAACACAUGCAAGUCGAACGGUAAGGCCCUUUCGGGGGUACACGAGUGGCGAACGGGUGAGUAACACGUGGGUGAUCUGCCCUGCACUUUGGGAUAAGCCUGGGAAACUGGGUCUAAUACCGGAUAGGACUACGCGAUGCAUGUCGUGUGGUGGAAAGCUUUUGCGGUGUGGGAUGGGCCCGCGGCCUAUCAGCUUGUUGGUGGGGUGAUGGCCUACCAAGGCGACGACGGGUAGCCGGCCUGAGGGGGUGUCCGGCCACACUGGGACUGAGAUACGGCCCAGACUCCUACGGGAGGCAGCAGUGGGGAAUAUUGCACAAUGGGCGCAAGCCUGAUGCAGCGACGCCGCGUGGGGGAUGACGGCCUUCGGGUUGUAAACCCCUUUCAGCACAGACGAAGCGUAAGUGACGGUAGGUGCAGAAGAAGCACCGGCCAACUACGUG
rnacentral:rRNA from 1 species